AGAACGAACGCUGGCGGCAGGCCUCAAACAUGCAAGUCGAACGCCCCGCAAGGGGAGUGGCAGACGGGUGAGUAACGCGUGGGAAUCUACCCAGUUCUACGGAAUAACACAGGGAAACUUGUGCUAAUACCGUAUACGCCCUACGGGGGAAGAUUUAUCGGGAUUGGAUGAGCCCGCGUUGGAUUAGCUAGUUGGUGGGGUAAUGGCCUACCAAGGCGACGAUCCAUAGCUGGUCUGAGAGGAUGAUCAGCCACACUGGGACUGAGACACGGCCCAGACUCCUACGGGAGGCAGCAGUGGGGAAUAUUGGACAAUGGGCGCAAGCCUGAUCCAGCCAUGCCGCGUGAGUGAUGAAGGCCUUAGGGUUGUAAAGCUCUUUUGGCAGGGAGAAGCGAAGUGACGGUACCUGCAGAAAAGCGACCGGCUAACUACGCGCCAGCAGCCGC
rnacentral:rRNA from 1 species